rnacentral:rRNA from 1 species
UUUCCGGUUGAUCCUGCCGGACCUGACUGCUAUCGGAUUGAUACUAAGCCAUGCGAGUCUUUGCAGUAAUGCAAGGCAUACGGCUCAGUAACACGUAGUCAACUUACCCUAUGGACGAGGAUAAUCUCGGGAAACUGAGCAUAAUACUCGAUAGAUCAUAAUGCCUGGAAUGGUUUAUGGUUGAAAUGAUUCGUCGCCAUAGGAUGGGACUGCGGCCUAUCAGCUUGUUGGUGAGGUAAUGGCCCACCAAGGCGAUUACAGGUACGGGCUCUGAGAGGAGAAGCCCGGAGAUGGGUACUGAGACAAGGACCCAGGCCCUAUGGGGCGCAGCAGGCGAGAAAACUUUGCAAUGUGCGAAAGCACGACAAGGUUAAUCCGAGUGAUUUCUGCUAAAGAAAUCUUUUGCAAGUCAUAAAACCACUAGUGAAUAAGGGGUGGGCAAGUUCUGGUGUCAGCCGCCGCGGUAAAACCAGCACCUCAAGUGGUCAGGAGGAUUAUUGGGCCUAAAGCAUCCGUAGCCGGCUCUGUAAGUUUUCGGUUAAAUCCAUGUGCUCAACGCAUGGGCUGCCGAAAAUACUGCAUAGCUAGGGAGUGGGAGAGGUAGACGGUACUCGGUAGGAAGGGGUAAAAUCCUUUGAUCUAUCGAUGACCACCUGUGGCGAAGGCGGUCUACCAGAACACGUUCGACGGUGAGGGAUGAAAGCUGGGGGAGCAAACCGGAUUAGAUACCCGGGUAGUCCCAGCUGUAAACGAUGCAGACUCGAUGAUGCAUUGGCAUAUAGCCAGUGCAGUGUCGCAGGGAAGCCGUUAAGUCUGCCGCCUGGGAAGUACGUACGCAAGUAUGAAACUUAAAGGAAUUGGCGGGGGAGCACCACAAGGGGUGAAGCCUGCGGUUCAAUUGGAGUCAACGCCGGGA